AUGAGAGCUUGGAGGAGCACUGAUGGGGACUGUGCCACCGCUGACCCUGGCACCAUGUGCUAACGUCCACCUCACCGUCUGUUCAGUCUGGGCUUCCACUGAGCUCUGGGAGAAUGGUCAUUGGCCGGGGCCAGAAGUCAAGAGGAUUUAGAUAUCCGGCACUAUCUGACUCUUUUGCAACCCUCAGAUUCAGUUUCUCAAUAUGGCAAGGAUUGUUUGCUAAAUGAAAUAAUCCCUCUAACUGAAAAGAAAAUCAUUAUGUAAAAAAUAGAAAUAAGGCAGGCAUCCUUUACAUGACUUGUUAACCAUGCAGCAAUUAACUGGACCACUAAGGGUUAAUUCUGAUCCUGAGUGGGCCCAAUCAGGUUCGUUUCUGCCAUCUUAUUAGGUUAAAUAAAUAGAAACUUCUUGCAAUAUCCAUCCACAAUGAUAAGCAAUUCCCACUAUAAUGGAUGGCUAAUAUAUAAAUUCAGCCCACAUCAGUUUUGUGUCAACUAGCAAAAACAGAAACAAUGGAAACUAGACAGCCAUGGCUCUGCAUAGGUCAACAACCAAGGUUAUCUGUAUUCAAUUACUGGUAUCUGCAAACUUGCAUACUGUCAGCUGAUCGUAGACUAAAUGAAAACUUAUCAUGCACAGAGGCAGCAAAUACAUUUAUUUGAAGCAGGCAUCAUAUUAGUUCACUGGUUUGACUGUGGUUAAGGGAAAAAAAGGGGUUAUCAGUCUUUUGGGAAAUUCCUUCAAAUAUAACCUGCAGCAAAUAUCUAAAAUUGGGGAUUAUCUAUGUUAUAAAUCUUUGUUCAAAAAGUAGAAAAGGAACAGAAAUCACUCCGUAGCCCUCUAAGACGAUAAAUUAUAUUAUUUAACAAUAGAUAAACUUAGGGCACCUUUCCUGUGGAGCAGCCCUAUUGUGAAUUUGGCUUUAAUCUGCUUCACCUUAACAUCUGUUCAGUGGAACCAAAGAUUUGGCUGUUUUGGACGCAGACAAUAAUUUGUUUGUUAACCGCUUUGCUGGAACAAUACAUCAUUGCAGAAAACAAAGCCUACCAACACGACGCGUUUUUAUCUGUUUCCUCUAUCUGUGUUCCUUUUUCCACAAGUGCAAGUUCAGGCUUUUGAACUGUUUUCCUAGCGAUAAUUUGUGAUGCUGUUAGUUUCAUAACCCUGGAAAAACAGAUUUUUUUUUCAACCUUCUUUUUCAUCUUUGACCAACAGAUGUUCUGUUCAAAACCUGUAAGGACUCAUGAGGUACGUACUAGCAAAUUAUAAUUGUUAACGCCCCUGUGGAAGGAAAAUGUCAAUAAAUAUUUGUUAUCGCUGGCCUGUUUGGAAACAAAGGCAUUUGCUUCACAGAAGUUCACGUGCCAGACCUUUUUAUGCAUCUUUUCCAGCAGUCCAUUCAAUUAGACAUCUAACAUUUUGUUUCUUUUCAGACAAGGAAGUUAAAAUAACCUCAUAGAAUCAAAAAUAAAGCAUAAAAGCACGAAGGCAUCCUGUAUUCUAUGGUAAAAUAGCACUUGAGCUCAUUUCAGGGAUCCGAAUGCAGCCACAGAGCUGAGCUCCAGCACUUCACCAUUGCACACUAAAGCAGCAGUAAAGGGCAAAAAUCUAAAUGCAUAGUACCGUAAUGCAAAGAAAUGCCCCAACAACAUGUGGCUGCUGACAACUGCAAUCCAUACCUAUGGAUAAUCUCCCCUGGCCAAAUGACUCAACUAAAAUCAGACUUAACUGCAACUCUUCUCCUCCGGCGAGAGAUAUAGAGUAUGUUUGGUUCUGACUUCUCCCUCAUGUCACUGCAGUCCAGACUCAUCCUGCUACUGAAGGAGGAGGUAAAGCUUAAUUUCUAGAUGACUGAAAAAAGCAAAUGCUAUCAUUUUCAAACGCAGGUGGUGAGCUGCUAUAGGCAUUCAGAACUGCCCUGCAGAAAUACCAGGAAAACUUACUUAUGCCACCAGUGCCUCAAAGAGCUCUUAACACAUCCUUGCACUGUGCCAUUCCACUUCACUCUGCUUCUUGUUGAGCUCUUGUAUUUCCCUCAUUUUAUCUCCGGGUGUGUCUGAAGCUGUAGUUCUAUUCUAAAGACUAGGAUUAACAUCUAACACAUGCUGUGAUGAUUUGGCAAAUCAGCCUCUGCACCACUAAAAUGAAUGCUGUUUUACAGCAUGGACUGCACUGCAUGUGUUUCAGCCAGCACAGCCCCUGUAGGCUGGAGCUUCCUUGCCUUCUCCGUAGCUUUUUGUCCUCUUGUUGAUGCAAAGACUAGAGGAGUUGCGGGGUGCAUCCAUUUACCUGGCUACAGUGGAGCAUCCUUAAAAUGCAAGAAACUAGCCAUGCAAAUGAGACAGAAAUGGCUGCCACCCAAGGCAGAGGAAUUUUUCCAAGUCUGAACCCUAUGCAGGAAGCAACUUCUUAGUAACUAUUUGUUUUAUGGAUUCAUUUGAGGAGCUGAUAAAACUGAAAAGAGGGCUCCUGAGGUGUUUCACUAAUCAGGAGGACAGGGAUCUGCAUUUCUCAGAAGUCAUAUGCAGGAGUUUGGGUCUAGAAGAACUGUGACCUACUUAGAAGACUCUGACUUAAGCCCCAAAUAAUGCUCUUGCUCAAGCAUGAAUUACAAGCAGCUGAAGAAAGAUGAGCUUUCGCACUUGCGCUCCAGCCAAGUUUGCCCACAUCUAAUGAGGAAAAGUAGGAUUCGGUGCCAUUUUGUAUUCCCGUGAUGUGGUGCAGAUGGAGGCUCGGCACACGCUCCUUUGCCUCCCCUUGCAAAGCGCAGAGCUGGAAAGCAUCAGGUUGAAGAGCAGAGGAAGUGGUGGCUGUGAGAAGCUGCCUCACCCAUGGGAGUAGAGCCGGCAGCAGCUCUGGUGACUGGAGAUGGCUGAGCUGGAAGAAAAUAUUAAACAGCCCAUGGCCAAAAGCUUGGGGAGUUACAGCAGCAGCCAUCCGUGGAGGGAGGAGAAAGGCUGAGCCAUCACACCUCAGCUUGAAAGACCUUGGCAGAGGCAAAGAGGGUGGCACACGGGCGCUGGCCUCAGCCCUGAGCUGGGUGCAUGCCUCGCUGUGUGCCAGGCCCAGGCCCUGUCUGCAGCCAUGUGGACCCAUGUCCCAUGGAAGGGAAAUGCAACCGAGCUGAGCGCUGCAGUGAGUCAGCCUUCUGAUGCAAGAUGGGAAUGCAGCUGGGCUGGGCAUUGCUGUGGGAUUAUAAAGUUAAAAAAAUGGAAAAAAGCCCUUGGGGAAAGGGAAUGCAACUGAUGGGAGAAACAGCGGAAGAGGUGGACAGGAUGCAUCCUCUGUGCAUGCUUCGAGCACUGGGCCGUCUGUGGAUGCGAGUAAGGCUCCCGAAUUCUGUCAUCAAGGCCACACUGGGCUGCCCGUGGUGCACAGGCUCAAAGUGCACAACACUACCUGCUCACCGGGUCAGGGUUGCCCCACGCUGCAGGCAGGGUUUUGUUCAGCAAGAGAAAGGUUUUCUACAUAAAAGGCCUUAUAUCCAAAAGACACCAUUUUAACUUGGCCGCAGCAGCACUGGAAAUGCAUUCUGGGGAACAGGAAAAGUCCACGGGGCGGCUGUUGUCAGAAAACAGUUUCUGGAAAAAAUUAAAGUUCUCCUGAGGCAUGUAGAAAAAUUCCAGGACACUGUAUUAUUAUUGUUGUUAUUAUUACCCUUGAUCUUUUGGAAGGUGGAGAGGGAGCACAUGCCGUUUUAAAGAAAGAAGACAGGACAUCUGCAGCCUUUAAAAGGCAAAGCACAAAGGCUGCUGGGCUCUCCUUACAGCAUUUUUAAUUAUCUUUCUUAAGUUUCCCAAAUAAAAACAUCACAUUGAGCCUCACCCAAUAAAGCUAUGUGGGUAAAUACAAUACCCAUUGUCUAAUCAAUAUCAUAUUGCUCAUGGCUUUAGCUCGUUCAAUAUCUGAGAUCACUGCCUCCCGACUCACACCUAAGGAUGCCAAUAUCUGCUUAAUGUUGGACAAACUGCAGUUGUCAUUCCCUGUAACAGAGUUCUUUAAUCUCAUUAAUAACCUACAGAUACCAAAGUGCAGCUUCAAGUAAAGCUGGCUGGAGCGUGCCAGAUUUCCAGUGUGCAGUUUCAGCUCUGGAGUGGGGUGGGUUAAAGAGCCCUGGUCCUGCUGGGGCUGCAGCCCCUGCCCCACUGCUGCUGUGCUAGGGCACCCAUGAACAAAUUAAAAAAAAAAAAAAGUCAAAUGCAGAGGGCGAAGAGGUAAGGGUAUGAGCUCAGCCAGAUGCCGUGACUAGGACAAAGUGUAUGACUGAAGUAUAUCCUCCAAAAUACUCUUUCUGGGAGCAGCAGUGCUGUGUGCUUGGUGCGGGCAUGCCAUUGUGCCCACCCAUCAUCCCCACUGGAACCCCGGGGCAAGCAAAGGGCAAGCAGCGAGAGCGCACCUGGCCCAAGGCCUGUCCCAGCAGUGCAUCCAUGAGCCCCGCAGCCCCGCGCAGCUGUCCGGGCGCGAUGCCGCCACGUCCGAGCUCAGCACAGCUCUGGGGAGCCCAGAAUGUAUCGUGAAAUAAAAACAGCUGCGAGGGAAACUCAUAUGACUAGGAUAGGUGCCAUCUAGCAAUUAACAGCCAGAAGUUUUGAUCUGGAAAAUCACAUUUAUUUUAAUUGCUUCGCUGUUGUGUUCAUAAAGAAUUUGGCUCAUUUUAGUAUUUUCCUUAUUAGAUAUACGAUUUAACUUUGGAACAAUGUAGUCAUUAGUUCCAUUGUUCCAGAUAUUUCAUCACGGGGAAAUGAAUGAUGGAGACAUGUUCUGCAAGGAAGACUGUUUAUAAAUAUUUAUCCUUGUCUUAACAGAUAUUUGUGUAAUCCAGCCGAGUUUUCUAGCACAGAAUUCAGCAGUUGUUAAUCUGGCGCAUGGCAAGCUGCACAUCUCCUAACCUCUGAGCUCAGCAAGCGAUCUUAUCAAAAGGACAAAGUGAGAGAAGUACACUUUUGUUUUACAAUUAUUUCCUUUUCAAGACCCAAUUCUUUCCACUCCCUUCCGUGGGAAGACACGUGUGUCAGAUUGCCACCACCGCUGCCAUUCACUGACAUGCUGACCCCGCGGCAGGCGCUGCCCUCAGAGCCCUGUGCCAUAGGCAGGAUCGGGCCCUGCACACGCAGCUGGGAGGGGAGCUGUAAAAAAUGCAUGGGCCCUUCUGCUGCGAAUGAUGCUGCUCAGCUGAAAGGAACUGGGAGGUGAAAAAUGGAAUUUGGCAGUUCUGUGCCGCUCCACCAUUUGGUGCUUGUUGUGGGACUCCAGCAAAAGGGAGCUAUCACUGCGGGCAUAAUUUACUUGAUUUUAAGGAUCUGUAUGAAUUCUGGCACCAGACCAAGUAGCCAUUAGCUAUGAGGAGUGCUUCCCGAUGCUCAUUUGUUUUCCAUGUGUGAAUUUUCACUCAUCCGAACUUUCUUUAGAAAAAAUUUUUCUUCAUCAAUUCCAUGUGGAAAAUGCAACAGAAACCCAGAUAAUAAAUUAUUCAAGAAACACAACAGUUUUUGUUUUUUUAAAUGGAAAACUACUAGUUCUGGAAUCAGACUGUCUGCCUGCUUUGAUUUCUGAUAUCUUAAAGCUAAGUGUUAUAAAAUGAUACGGUUGUUCACAUGCUCCAGGAUAGGCUUUUGGGCAAAUUACCCUAAAUAAGGUAACUCAAUAGCCAGGUAGGCAGGCUUUAAUGCUAUUACUAUUAGGAAAAUACCAUUAAUAUGAGACAUAUGCGGGCCACUAUUACAUCAGCAGGGCCUCACUCACGCAGUAUGUGGGAGCAGUGCUGUGGAUCGUAGCAGCGGUGCUGGGCCUUCACACACGUAACGUGCCUUAGUCUUGAGGUCAAAAUCUGUUAAUGCAAUUUUGAGUAUAAGAACAAGAAUUUAAAAUCCAUGUGGUUUUAAUGCCAUGUUCUGAGAUGGGGGGGCAGGGGAUGAUUUGUUGCGUUUCUUUAUUUGG
rnacentral:lncRNA from 1 species